GCGUGCGGGCGGGCGCGGUCGGACUGGGCCGGUUCGGCCCAAAGUGGCCGGGCCGGUCCGUUUGCUCCUUUUUUUUUUCUUUUACCCCUUUUCUUUUUCUGUUUUUCUCAUUUCUUUGAUAUCUUUUGAGUUUGAACUCCAAAUUGGUCCAAAUAAAUUCCAGAAAAUUUGUAAAAUCAUGUUCUACCAUGAUUCAACUUUUGGGAGUAGUUUCCUCUCAAAAUAAAAUAUAUAAAAACACAUUUGCCCUAUAAAUGCCUUUAGGGCUAUAUAUACCUAUUUAAAUAAAAUACUUUUUCAACUCCAAAUAAUUAUCCAAAAAUUAUGGGAUAGCCUAUAUAUGCA
rnacentral:lncRNA from 1 species